UUAGACCUCAAAUCAGGUGGGACUACCCGCUGAACUUAA
rnacentral:rRNA from 3 species